CGGACGGGUGAGUAACACGUGGAUAACCUACCUAUAAGACUGGGAUAACUUCGGGAAACCGGAGCUAAUACCGGAUAAUAUAUUGAACCGCAUGGUUCAAUAGUGAAAGACGGUUUUGCUGUCACUUAUAGGUGGAUCCGCGCCGCAUUAGCUAGUUGGUAAGGUAACUGCUUACCAAGGCAACGAUGCGUAGCCGACCUGAGAGGGUGAUCGGCCACACUGGAACUGAGACACGGUCCAG
rnacentral:rRNA from 1 species